rnacentral:rRNA from 1 species
GGAUGAGUCCGCGUAGCAUCAGCUUGUUGGUGGGGUAAUGGCCUACCAAGGCAAAGACGCUUAGCUGGUCUGAGAGGAUGAUCAGCCACACUGGGACUGAGAUACGGCCCAG